AUCACCUCCUUGCCCGCAAGGGGAAAGAUUUAUCGCCAUUGGAUGAACCCGCGUCGGAUUAGCUAGUUGGUGAGGUAAAGGCUCACCAAGGCGACGAUCCGUAGCUGGUCUGAGAGGAUGAUCAGCCACACUGGGACUGAGACACGGCCCAGACUCCUACGGGAGGCAGCAGUGGGGAAUAUUGGACAAUGGGCGCAAGCCUGAUCCAGCCAUGCCGCGUGAGUGAUGAAGGCCUUAGGGUUGUAAAGCUCUUUCGCCGACGAAGAUAAUGACGGUAGUCGGAGAAGAAGCCCCGGCUAACUUCGUGCCAGCAGCCGCGGUAAUACGAAGGGGGCUAGCGUUGUUCGGAAUCACUGGGCGUAAAGCGCACGUAGGCGGACAUUUAAGUCAGGGGUGAAAGCCUGGAGCUCAACUCCAGAACUGCCCUUGAUACUGGGUGUCUCGAGUCCGGAAGAGGUAAGUGGAACUGCGAGUGUAGAGGUGAAAUUCG
rnacentral:rRNA from 1 species